AGCAGCCGCGGUAAUUCCAGCUCCAAUAGCGUAUAUUAAAGUUGUUGCAGUUAAAAGCUCGUAGUUGAAUUUCGGGGUUAGUAGGUUGGUCAUGCCUCUGGUAUGUACUGGUCUCACUGAUUCCUCCUUCCUGAUGAACCGUAAUGCCAUUAAUUUGGUGUUGCGAGGAAUUUGGACUGUUACUUUGAAAAAUUAGAGUGUUUAAAGCAAGCUAACGCUUGAAUACAUUAGCAUGGAAUAAUGAAAUAGGACGUUCGAUCCUAUUUGUUGGUUUCUAGGAUUGACGUAAUGAUUAAUAGGGAUAGUUGGGGGCAUUAGUAUUCAAUUGUCAGAGGUGAAAUUCUUGGAUUUAUUGAAUGACUAACUACUGCGAAGCAUUUGCCAAUGGAUGUUUUCAUUAAUCAAGAACGAAAGUUAGGGGAUCGAAGACGAUCAGAUACCGUCGUAGUCUUAACCAUAAACUAUGCCGACUAGGGAUCGGAUGAUGUUAAUUUUUUAAUGACUCAUUCGGCGCCUUACG
rnacentral:rRNA from 1 species